UGCCUGCCUCUGACUCCUGAACUCUGGAAUUAAAGACAUGUGCCACCAGGCUUGACUUUCACAGUUUUAAUUACUAAAUUCUUAUUGAAGGUUAUUAGGAAAUGAGGUAACUGUUAAUUCAGAGUAGAUCUUUAUUUAUGAAAAGUUAUGCUAAGGAGGCAACUAGAAUAUACUAAAAGAAGUUAUAGAAGUACCCUCUCUACAGUUCUACUGCACAGAGGUAAUACUAAAGUCAGCGUCUUCGGUGACUUAUCUGAGAGCUUGCAAAAUCGCUCAGUGGGUAAAGACACUUGCCACUCAAGUGACCUGAAUUUAAUCCUCAGGACUAACAUGGUGGAGAAGUUAUCCUCUGAACUCCAUACAUGCACUUUACAUGUGAGUGUACACACACACACACACAAUAAGUGCGAUCUUAAAAAGGGUUUAUGCAAUAUGAAUGUCUUGUAGUUGCAUAGAGUGUCAGAAUAGAGUGGUCCUCCGAGUCCUGAGCUAUGCUCAGGGGUAUCUGUCUGCUUGAGUUUUACCCAGCCUAGACAUGCCUGCUACUUCAGCGAACAGGUGGAGUGGCUGAGAAAGAGUUCACUGUCAUCCAUUUGAACCCAGGGAGGUGGCCAGCAUCUUUCGAUGGGGUACAGACCACGAGGGCAGGAGGAUCAUGCUGUGUGGGAACAUGUAAUAUUUAGCAUCCUUCUCAGGACAGACAGUGGGAACUGAUGUUUUCUUGUCCCCUGGCAUUCAUGAGGCAUUGGUAACAAGUUUUAUUUUUCCAUUUUAAAGAUGAGAAAGAUGAAGCUCGGGCUGGUUAAAUGAGUUGCUCAGCGUCCCAUGGCCUAGCCACCUGCCCGGUGCCUCCCACACUGCUCCUGCAUGACGGGCAGCGCCUCCUCCAGCCCCUCCAGUGCUGCCCGCUGUGUCUAGCAGCCCCUAGGAGCUUGUCAGCCGCACCUCUGGGACUGGCCAUUCCUUUCGGUGCUGCUGUCCUUUUGGGGUCUUGAUUUCUGGAUACAUGUAGCUUUGCCAGAUAUGUACUUAGAGAUAUCAGCUGUGUUAAUAAACCCAUUUACUGUGUAACACGCAAGUUUAACAGUUAAGAGAGAGUAGUUGUCCACCCAUGACAGGUGUUAAUGUCACCCAGGUAUUACAGUGGCAUGAUAGUGACCUGUGCAGUCACUGAGCUGUAGGAGCAAGGCAUGUGCCGCACGUCCCUGUCGCACUUACAGACCUGGCCAGUGUCCUGCACAGGCCUCCCAGGACACACUGAAGUAGAUUGCUCUGUAGUCUUGGUGUGGAAUUUUGGCAUUUCUGCUUCUCUCUACUAAUCUUAAAGUGCUCUGUGAUGUGUGUAUUUGUGUCUUUCUAACUUCUAAUAAACUCACUCCAACUGA